rnacentral:lncRNA from 1 species
AUAGGUCCCUUCUGGAGAGCAGUAAAGUGGAAUGCCUUUCUACCCAAGGGUCUUGGCUUUUUCACCUUCUGUCCUGCAUGGCUUUACCUUCUGAGUCCCUUUAGCCUUCACCCCCGAGGAGCUGGCCCUGGAAGCAGAGGUCAGUGCUCUCCCACAGUUCCACGCCAGCUGUGUGCUUCUCCUGCUUACGUCAUUCUGAAGCUGGCCACAUAGCGUGCAAGCCUGGCCCCUCUCAGCAGCUUCAGCCUAGGACGCUACACCGUGCAGCGGGGAGAGGCUGUUCUGAAUACUAAAAAGUUCAAGAGCCACAGAGAAAACGCAGUCACCUCUCUGUCAACGAUGGCGGAGCCUUCAAGACCCCAUCACUUCCUAAAGGCCCAGCCUUCAAAAAUCAUUCCCCAGAGGUGGGCAUUUCAGAAAGAGCAGUGCGAGGACAAACAGGAACCACC